GAACAAGCUAACUGGAAUUUAAUGUUGCAGANAAAUUUGUAAUAUUAAAUAAUGUAAGGGAGGAUAAUGACGUUACCUUACGAUGAGUGUCGUCUAAACACUGGUGCCAGAAGACUCGGUAACACCAGAGACGCGAACGUUAGUCAUCUUAAAUGGGCGUAAAGGGUUCGUAGGCAUCUUAUUAUAAAAGAAAUCUUUUAUAUAAUCUAAGAUAGAAUCAAAAAGAGGAAAUAGGAGAAUGUUUAGAGGUAGUGCUGAUAUACUUAGAUCCUAAACGGAAUACUCGUGGCGAAGGCUCCUUUCCAACAACGAUUGACGCUGAGGAACGAAGGUGUAGAUAGGAAAUAGGAUUAGAUACCCAGAUACCCUACACUGUAAACGAUGAAUGGUAAGAGUCUAUAUAUUGGUAAUUAAAAAAUGCCUAAAAUAUAGGUUNUGAGGUUAACUGCGAUAACCAUUCCGCCUUGUAAGUAUACUCGCNAGAGUGAAAAUAAAAAAAUUAGUCGG
rnacentral:rRNA from 1 species